GACGAACGCUGGCGGCGUGCCUAAUACAUGCAAGUUGAGCGCUGAAGGUUGGUACUUGUACCAACUGGAUGAGCAGCGAACGGGUGAGUAACGCGUGGGGAAUCUGCCUUUGAGCGGGGGACAACAUUUGGAAACGAAUGCUAAUACCGCAUAAAAACUUUAAACACAAGUUUUAAGUUUGAAAGAUGCAAUUGCAUCACUCAAAGAUGAUCCCGCGUUGUAUUAGCUAGUUGGUGAGGUAAAGGCUCACCAAGGCGAUGAUACAUAGCCGACCUGAGAGGGUGAUCGACCACAUUGGGACUGAGACACGGCCCAAACUCCUACGGGAGGCAGCAGUAGGGAAUCUUCGGCAAUGGACGAAAGUCUGACCGAGCAACGCCGCGUGAGUGAAGAAGGUUUUCGGAUCGUAAAACUCUGUUGGUAGAGAAGAACGUUGGUGAGAGUGGAAAGCUCAUCAAGUGACGGUAACGACCCAGAAAGGGACGGCUAACUACGU
rnacentral:rRNA from 1 species